rnacentral:rRNA from 1 species
GGCAACCUGCCCGGAAAUGGGGGAUAGCUCGUCGAAAGGCGAAUUAAUACCGCAUGUGGCGAAGGGUGGAAUCACCCUGUAGCUAAAGUCGGGGCAACCUGACGUUUCUGGAUGGGCCCGCGGCCUAUCAGCUAGUUGGAGAGGUAACGGCUCCCCAAGGCUAUGACGGGUAGCUGGUCUGAGAGGACGACCAGCCACACUGGAACUGAGACACGGUCCAGACACCUACGGGUGGCAGCAGUCGAGAAUUUUUCUCAAUGGGGGAAACCCUGAAGGAGCGACGCCGCGUGAAGGAUGAAGGUCUUCGGAUUGUAAACUUCUGUCAUUGGUGAACAAGGCCCACGCAGUAACUGGUGUUGGGAUUGAUAGUAGCCGAAGAGGAAGAGACGGCUAACUCUGUGCCAGCAGCCGCGGUAAUACAGAGGUCUCAAGCGUUGUUCGGAUUCAUUGGGCGUAAAGGGUGCGUAGGUGGCGAGGUAAGUCUGGUGUGAAAUCCCGGGGCUCAACCCCGGAACUGCACUGGAUACUGCUUUGCUAGAGUACUGGAGAGGAGAUUGGAAUUUACGGCGUAGCAGUGAAAUGCGUAGAUAUCGUAAGGAAGACCAGUGGCGAAGGCGAAUCUCUGGACAGUUACUGACACUGAGGCACGAAGGCCAGGGGAGCAAACGGGAUUAGAUACCCCGGUAGUCCUGGCAGUAAACGGUGCGCGUUUGGUGUGGGAGGAAUCGACCCCUUCCGUGCCGGAGCUAACGCGUUAAACGCGCCGCCUGGGGAGUACGGUCGCAAGAUUAAAACUCAAAGGAAUUGACGG